UACGUAGGGGCCGAGCGUUGUCCGGAGUUACUGGGCGUAAAGCGCGCGCAGGCGGCGCGGUAAGCAUGGCGUGAAAGCCCCCGGCUCAACUGGGGAGGGUCAUUCGAUACUGAUCGACUCGAAGGCAGGAGAGGGUAGUGGAAUUCCCGGUGUAGUGGUGAAAUGCGUAGAGAUGCGGAGGAACACCGAUGGCGAAGGCAGCCCCCUGGGCCAACACUGACGCUCAGGCACGAAAGCGUGGGGAGCAAACAGG
rnacentral:rRNA from 1 species